CACAGAUCCUGUUCUCCUCUGGAUUGCACCAAAACCACAGACCAGUUCAACUGUUCCUGUGAGACUGUGGGAAAGCCUUCUCCCACUUUACAGUGGUAUUUGGAUGGGUUACCUGUCAAUCACUCAGACACAUUUGCAAUCAGCAAUGAGCCUCUAAAUGAGACAGGUCUGAGGAUAAUCAUCACUGUGAAUCAACCACAAUGGAGGAAUCUUUCCACUUUGCUCUGCCGCAGCUCCAACUCUCUGGGAUCUGCUACUCAGAGGUUUUAUUUCUACAGCCUUGAGCCUCAAACAUCUGCACAAUACCAAGUGACACUGACAGUCUUCAUCAUCAUAGUUGUUGCACUGCUAGUACUAGUAUGUGCUCUGCUGUUAGUCAACAGAGCUCAGAAGACUCGCCAUAAUCUUCCUAAGGGCACCCUUGCUAUGAGUCAACUUA